AUGGGUACCUGCCAAAUGGAUUCGCACGUGGAAAGAAAAGGUUUCAGAGCCAUCAACAUCAGAAUAACGCUCUUUUUUCUCCUCAUGCAUUUCACAAUCAAUGAUGGACGACUGGUACCUGUAGAAUUGGCAGAGUCUCAAGCUCGAGCGAACAUGUGGGUAGAAUGGGCCAAUCGUUCUGGUAUUGAUGAUUUUUGUUUAUCCUUACACCAAGUAGGUAAUCCUUUUAAAACCUGUCUUAUAGGAAUUCCAUAUGUAAAUUUGUCUGAAUUUCUUGAUUGGAUAGACCCGCCAGUACCGAUGAAUGAAACCAUUAUUGCUCAGACUGCCAUUUCUAAUCAUUGGAGUUACCCUUCGACUGUAAUAGCUUUAAUAGUUAAAUAUCUGAAAAAAACCGUUUUGCCACCCCAGGAAUUAGAUCUAUUGGGCUCUCAAAGUUCUAGCGGUUGUAUUAAAUUUAGUACUAUGAGUGUAAAUGAGGAAGAUACCCGAAUAACUCCAACUAACUAUGUAUAUUACAAUGAAAGUUAUUGUAACUUCUCAAUACCCGACAUUCCUUAUGAUGUUACAAAGGCAAAAGCUUUGCCACUUGGGUAUUUUUUGAUUUGUGGCGAUCGCGCAUGGCCGGGAAUACCAAAACUGGCCUUUGGGGGACCGUGUUACAUAGGCAAAUUAACUCUGAUGAUGCCACGAAAGGAACAUAUACAGUAUUUAUAUAAAUUAGCCACCUCAACAGAACAGAGUCACCGACAGAAACGAACGACAACAUUGUCGCGAUCUGUAUUGUCAGCAAAUUGUAGUGAUAAUGUCAUUUUAUGGGAUACUCCUUCCUCUGUACUAUCAGCUUUAUUUGUUCCGCCUCUUGCCUUAACACAUUUAUCAUCAACAAUAAAUGCUUUAACAUGCUGGACAGGGAAACAAAUAAAUUUGACGUCACAAAUUUUAUACGAUUUAGCUACUGAUGCAGACAGUGUACGUAAAGCUACUCUUCAAAAUCGRGCUGCUAUUGAUUUUUUAUUGUUAGCACAUGGACAUGGCUGUGAGGAUUUUGCUGAUAUGUGUUGUUUUAAUUUAUCGGAUCAUUCACAAUCAAUACAUGAUAAGUUAAAACAACUAAAUGAUAACAUGCAAAAAUUACAAAUGCAAGAAGAUCCACUGGAUGCUUGGCUAAGAUCCCUUGGGGUUAGUGGAUGGUGGCAGACUUUGUUAAAAUAUGGAUGCCUUAUAUUGAUUUCAAUUAUAUGUAUUUUAAUAAUCUUUCCAUGUAUAUUGCAGUGUGCCUUGUCUAUGUUGCAACAAAUCUCAUCCUCUGUUUUUCAAAAACAAAAAGGUGGAGUUGUGGGGUUUGCUGCGGUGAAAUAA
rnacentral:lncRNA from 1 species